rnacentral:rRNA from 1 species
ACGCUCGACACCUACGGGGGGCAGCAGUGGGGGAUAUUGCACAAUGGGGGAAACCCUGAUGCAGCAACGCCGCGUGAAGGAAGACGGUUUUCGGAUUGUAAACUUCUGUUCUUAGUGACGAUAAUGACGGUAGCUAAGGAGAAAGCUCCGGCUAACUACGUGCCAGUAGCCGCGGUAAUCUGAGCGGGCGUGGCAAGGC